rnacentral:rRNA from 1 species
UACGUAGGGUGCGAGCGUUGUCCGGAAUUAUUGGGCGUAAAGAGCUCGUAGGCGGUGUGUCACGUCGGCCUGAAAACCUGCAGCUUAACUGUGGGCGUGCGGUCGAUACGGGCAUCACUGGAGUUCGGCAGGGGAGACUGGAAUUCCUGGUGUAGCGGUGAAAUGCGCAGAUAUCAGGAGGAACACCGGUGGCGAAGGCGGGUCUCUGGGCCG